rnacentral:rRNA from 1 species
GGUUAAGCGACUAAGCGUACACGGUGGAUGCCUAGGCAGUCAGAGGCGAUGAAGGGCGUGCUAAUCUGCGAUAAGCGUCGGUAAGCUGAUAUGAAGCGUUAUACCCGACGAUACCCGAAUGGGGAAACCCAGUGUGUUUCGACACACUAUCAUGACAUGAAUACAUAGUGUCAUGAGGCGAACCGGGGGAACUGAAACAUCUCAGUACCCCGAGGAAAAGAAAUCAACCGAGAUUCCCCCAGUAGCGGCGAGCGAACGGGGAGGAGCCCAGAACCUGAAUCAGUUUGUGUGUUAGUGGAAGCGUCUGGAAAGUCGCACAGUAAAGGGUGAUAGUCCCGUACACAAAAAUGCACAAGUUGUGAGUUCGAUGAGUAGGGCGGGACACGUGACAUCCUGUCUGAAUAUGGGGGGACCAUCCUCCAAGGCUAAAUACUCCUGACUGACCGAUAGUGAACCAGUACCGUGAGGGAAAGGCGAAAAGAACCCCGGCGAGGGGAGUGAAAUAGAACCUGAAACCGUGUACGUACAAGCAGUGGGAGCCUACUUGUUAGGUGACUGCGUACCUUUUGUAUAAUGGGUCAGCGACUUAUAUUCUGUAGCAAGGUUAACCGUAUAGGGGAGCCGCAGGGAAACCGAGUCUUAACUGGGCGUUAAGUUGCAGGGUAUAGACCCGAAACCCGGUGAUCUAGCCAUGGGCAGGUUGAAGGUUGGGUAACACUAACUGGAGGACCGAACCGACUAAUGUUGAAAAAUUAGCGGAUGACUUGUGGCUGGGGGUGAAAGGCCAAUCAAACCGGGAGAUAGCUGGUUCUCCCCGAAAGCUAUUUAGGUAGCGCCUCGUGAAUUCAUCUUCGGGGGUAGAGCACUGUUUCGGCUAGGGGGUCAUCCCGACUUACCAACCCGAUGCAAACUACGAAUACCGAAGAAUGUUAUCACGGGAGACACACGGCGGGUGCUAACGUUCGUCGUGAAGAGGGAAACAACCCAGACCGCCAGCUAAGGUCCCAAAGUCAUGGUUAAGUGGGAAACGAUGUGGGAAGGCAUAGACAGCCAGGAUGUUGGCUUAGAAGCAGCCAUCAUUUAAAGAAAGCGUAAUAGCUCACUGGUCGAGUCGGCCUGCGCGGAAGAUGUAACGGGGCUAAACCAUGCACCGAAGCUGCGGCAGCGACACUUAGGUGUUGUUGGGUAGGGGAGCGUUCUGUAAGCCUGCGAAGGUGGCCUGUGAGGGCUGCUGGAGGUAUCAGAAGUGCGAAUGCUGACAUAAGUAACGAUAAUGCGGGUGAAAAACCCGCACGCCGGAAGACCAAGGGUUCCUGUCCAACGUUAAUCGGGGCAGGGUGAGUCGACCCCUAAGGCGAGGCUGAAAAGCGUAGUCGAUGGGAAACAGGUUAAUAUUCCUGUACUCGGUGUUACUGCGAAGGGGGGACGGAGAAAGCUAGGUUAUCCGGGCGACGGUUGUCCCGGUUUAAGCGUGAAGGUGGGUGACUUUGGUAAAUCCGGGUCAUCGUUAACACUGAGGCGUGAUGACGAGUCACUACGGUGAUGAAGUAACCGAUGCUACGCUUCCAGGAAAAGCCUCUAAGCUCCAGGUAACAUCAAAUCGUACCCCAAACCGACACAGGUGGUCAGGUAGAGAAUACUCAGGCGCUUGAGAGAACUCGGGUGAAGGAACUAGGCAAAAUGGUGCCGUAACUUCGGGAGAAGGCACGCUGAUGGUAGGUGAAGUGACUUGCUCAUGGAGCUGAAAUCAGUCGAAGAUACCAGCUGGCUGCAACUGUUUAAUAAAAACACAGCACUGUGCAAACACGAAAGUGGACGUAUACGGUGUGACGCCUGCCCGGUGCCGGAAGGUUAAUUGAUGGGGUCAGCCGCAAGGCGAAGCUCUUGAUCGAAGCCCCGGUAAACGGCGGCCGUAACUAUAACGGUCCUAAGGUAGCGAAAUUCCUUGUCGGGUAAGUUCCGACCUGCACGAAUGGCGUAAUGAUGGCCAGGCUGUCUCCACCCGAGACUCAGUGAAAUUGAACUCGCUGUGAAGAUGCAGUGUACCCGCGGCAAGACGGAAAGACCCCGUGAACCUUUACUAUAGCUUGACACUGAACCUUGAGCCUUGAUGUGUAGGAUAGGUGGGAGGCUUUGAAGCGUGGACGCCAGUCUGCGUGGAGCCAACCUUGAAAUACCACCCUUUAAUGUUUGAUGUUCUAACGUGGACCCGUAAUCCGGGUUGCGGACAGUGUCUGGUGGGUAGUUUGACUGGGGCGGUCUCCUCCCAAAGCGUAACGGAGGAGCACGAAGGUUAGCUAAUCCUGGUCGGACAUCAGGAGGUUAGUGCAAAGGCAUAAGCUAGCUUGACUGCGAGAGUGACAGCUCGAGCAGGUGCGAAAGCAGGUCUUAGUGAUCCGGUGGUUCUGAAUGGAAGGGCCAUCGCUCAACGGAUAAAAGGUACUCCGGGGAUAACAGGCUGAUACCGCCCAAGAGUUCAUAUCGACGGCGGUGUUUGGCACCUCGAUGUCGGCUCAUCACAUCCUGGGGCUGAAGUAGGUCCCAAGGGUAUGGCUGUUCGCCAUUUAAAGUGGUACGCGAGCUGGGUUUAGAACGUCGUGAGACAGUUCGGUCCCUAUCUGCCGUGGGCGUUGGAAGAUUGAGAGGGGUUGCUCCUAGUACGAGAGGACCGGAGUGAACGCACCACUGGUGUACGGGUUGUGAUGCCAAUUGCAUUGCCCGGUAGCUAAGUGCGGAAGAGAUAACCGCUGAAAGCAUCUAAGCGGGAAACUUGCCUCGAGAUGAGUCUUCCCUGGGCACUUGAUGCCCCUGAAGGGCCGUUGAAGACGACGACGUAGAUAGGCUGGGUGUGUAAGCGUAGCGAUACGUUGAGCUAACCAGUACUAAUGACCCGAGAGGCUUAACCUU